rnacentral:rRNA from 1 species
AACGAACGCUGGCGGCAGGCUUAACACAUGCAAGUCGAACGCGCCCUUCGGGGCGAGUGGCAGACGGGUGAGUAACGCGUGGGAACCUACCUUUUGGUACGGAAUAACUCAGGGAAACUUGAGCUAAUACCGUAUGUGCCCUUCGGGGGAAAGAUUUAUCGCCAAAGGAUGGGCCCGCGUCGGAUUAGCUAGUUGGUAGGGUAACGGCCUACCAAGGCGACGAUCCGUAGCUGGUCUGAGAGGAUGAUCAGCCACACUGGGACUGAGACACGGCCCAGACUCCUACGGGAGGCAGCAGUGGGGAAUAUUGGACAAUGGGGGCAACCCUGAUCCAGCCAUGCCGCGUGAGUGAUGAAGGCCUUAGGGUUGUAAAGCUCUUUCGCCGGUGAAGAUAAUGACGGUAUCCGGAGAAGAAGCCCCGGCUGACUUCGUGCCAGCCGCCGCCGUAA